UACAGAGGUCUCAAGCGUUGUUCGGAUUCAUUGGGCGUAAAGGGUGCGUAGGCGGCGCGGUAAGUCCGCUCUGAAAGCCCGGGGCUCAACCCCGGGAGGCGGGCGGAUACUGUCGGGCUAGAGUCCGGAAGAGGCGAGUGGAAUUCCUGGUGUAGCGGUGAAAUGCGCAGAUAUCAGGAGGAACACCAAUGGCGAAGGCAGCUCGCUGGGACGGUACUGACGCUGAGACGCGAAAGCGUGGGGAGCAAACAGG
rnacentral:rRNA from 1 species